GACGAACGCUGGCGGCGUGCUUAACACAUGCAAGUCGAACGGAAAGGCCCUGCUUUUGUGGGGUGCUCGAGUGGCGAACGGGUGAGUAACACGUGAGUAACCUGCCCUUGACUUUGGGAUAACUUCAGGAAACUGGGGCUAAUACCGGAUAGGAGCUCCUGCUGCAUGGUGGGGGUUGGAAAGUUUCGGCGGUUGGGGAUGGACUCGCGGCUUAUCAGCUUGUUGGUGGGGUAGUGGCUUACCAAGGCUUUGACGGGUAGCCGGCCUGAGAGGGUGACCGGCCACAAUGGGACUGAGAGACGGACCAGACUCCUACGGGAGGCAGCAGUGGGAAAUAUUACACAAUGGGCGGAAGCCUGAUGCAGCAACGCCGCGUGCGUGAUGACGGCCUUCGGGUUGUAAACCGCUUUCGCCUGUGACGAAGCGUGAGUGACGGUAAUGAGUAAAGAAGCACCGGCUAACUACGUG
rnacentral:rRNA from 1 species